rnacentral:tRNA from 2 species
GGAAGAAUGCCGGAGUGGUCGAUCGGGGCGGUCUCGAAAACCGCUGUUCGCAAGAACCGAGGGUUCGAAUCCCUCUUCUUCCU